rnacentral:rRNA from 2 species
UGAGAGUUCAAGAGGGCGUGAAACCGNUUAGAAGCAAACGGAUGGAUCUGACAGUGAGUCGAUAAUAUUCAGCUUUUUGUCCCAUCUCUGCCCGCCUCGAGAUUGCAAGACUCGUGUGUGAAGUAGGUAUGGUCAAUGAGUGCAUUUGUUGUCGAUGCGCACUAGGACCUGUGAUGGUGCUGGAAUAAAGUGGAUGGUAGCCGGCCAAAUCCGUUUGGUGUCCUGCCGUCCGCCGUAACCGGGUUACUGUGACAGGAAAUUCAAGAGAGAUCCGCCUCUACUCAUUUGCGUGGUGAGCCUUGUCCAAAUGAAAUGUGAUUCCUUGCACGCAAGACUUUGCGCUGCCUGGCUCGGUAAGCUGCGUAUUUUGAGUUGAUCUCGAAUCCUGGUGUUUUUGUCGGUCACCCAUCCGACCCGUCUUGAAACACGGACCAAGGAGUCUAACAUGUGCGCGAGUCACUGGGUGGUAAAACCCAAAGGCGCAAUGAAAGUGAAGUCUAGUUCGGCUGGAUGACAUGGGACCCUCGACGCAACGUUGGGGAGCACCAUGGUCCCGUUCAUACUGCAUUGUCAGUGGAGCGGAGAUUGAGCGUACAUGUUGGGACCCGAAAGAUGGUGAACUAUGCCUGAGCAGGAUGAAGCCAGAGGAAACUCUGGUGGAGGUCCAUAGCGAUUCUGACGUGCA